GGAUUAGAUACCCUGGUAGUCCAUGCCCUAAACGAUGUGCACUAGUUCGAGGAGGUUUUGACGCCAUCUCGGACGAAGCUAAAGUAUUAAGUGCACCGCCUGGGGAGUACGGUCGCAAGGCUAAAACUCAAAGGAAUUGACGGGGACUCACACAAGCGGUGGAGCAUGUGGCUUAAUUCGAAGCAACGCGAAGAACCUUAUCCUGGGUUUGACAUGGACGGAUUAGCUUCCCGAAACGGAAGUGACACUCUCUGAGUGGAACGUUCACAGGUGCUGCAUGGCUGUCGUCAGCUCGUGCUG
rnacentral:rRNA from 1 species